rnacentral:rRNA from 1 species
UACGAAAGGUCCAAGCGUUACUCGGAAUUACUGGGCGUAAAGCGCGCGUAGGCGGUCUUGUAUGUCGAUUGUGAAAGCCCCGGGCUCAACCUGGGAACAGCAGCCGAAACUGCAAGACUUGAAUGUUGGAGAGGGUGGGGGAAUACCUAGUGGAGAAGUGAAAUUCGUAGAGAUUAGGUGGAACACCAGAGGCGAAGGCGCCUGCCUGGCCAAACAUUGACGCUGAGGCGCGAAAGCGUGGGUAGCAAACAGG